UUUUAUUUUCCAAUAAUAAAUAUCUUAACUAAUAUAAAAUGAAUUUUUUAAAAAUUUUAUGGACUGCCCCUACUAUAUAACGCGGGGCUGCAAGUCAGCUGACCCAGAGUUGCUUUGUAUGCAAAAAAAGCGCGGGAAAAAUUGUGCAACUUUGAAGUUUAGUACUGCGGUAAAUAAAAAUAAAAUUUAUAACUUUAAAAAUGGAAAACAUUACUGAUGCUAAAAAAUAACAAAAUAGUUCGUGUUUCGUGGAACAUAACUUACAAAUAGAGGAGACUAGUGAUGAAGUUUAAUUGCAAACGUGUUGUCUGAAACUUCUAUUAUUAGAGGCUUUUAACCGUUUUUGCUCCUUUUUGCUCCAUUUCGAAAAAAUAACGUUUUUAUAGCUAAGUAUGAGUUUACGCGCUCAGAGCUUCUAGACGUAUGGGCAAGCAACAAUCGCCAAGCAGACGCGGUGAAAUUGUUUAUGAUUGAAAAAAUUAAUAAUAAUGUGGAUGAAAAUGUAGAAAACAGUAUUUCUACCCAAGUAGCCCAGUUUAUUGCUUUUGUUAAAAGAUAUUUGCCCAGAUGUAACCGUAAUCUGCAUAGAUUCAAAGCAACACCUUCACGGUGGGUCGAGGGCAAAAUAUUUAUCAACUUAAAAGAAGUUAAGUCCUCGCAAGAUAAAGCUGGCCGUAAAGAACUUACUUAUGAAGAAGCAGGCAGUCGGCUGAAGAGAAAAUUAGCUUCUGAUCUUGCAAGUCAAGAAGAACACACAACCCAACUGUUUAUACAUGCUGCAUCGGUUUCAGCAAAAAAAUGCAAAGAAAAUGAUAUGGCAUUCGAAGUGAAAUAUUGAAAUAUAUAUGAAUAACUAUUUUUGGUAUCCCAUGUCCCCAACUGUGCACAAAGUUUUGAUCCAUGGAUACCAAAUAAUGGAUAGCUGCAUAGUUCCUGUUGGUGUUCUCGGAGAAAACGCAUCAGAAGCUCGAAACAAAAUUUAUAAAAAUGACAGAAGGUCGCAUGCCAGAAAGAGCAGUAGGCUAAACAACAUCACUGAUGUUUUUCACAGGGCAUUAGAUUCAUCUGAUCCGCUUUUGUCAAGUCUCUGUCUUAAAAAAAGACAGAAGCUUCACAAAAAAUUAAAAUUUCCAAGCGAAGUGAUUGAUCUGUUUGCUCUGAUUGAGCCUCCGCAAAUCGCGCAUCAAUUUACAAAUGAAACUGAAAGUUUAGAAGCUGAAGAUGAGGAUGAGGAUGAUGCAAACAAUUUCGACCCGAAUAUCGAAUUGGAUGAAGAAAAUUAUGAUUAUUGAUGUUAAUUUUUGGAGAUGUGGGUAUCAACGGAAUGAAUAUACACAUUUUAAUUUUUUU